UUGUUGAAGCUCAAAAUUGUUCAAAACUCAACUUUUUAUCUCUCUCUUGAUAGAUUAAGUUAAAGGUUAUACUUCCUUACUUUGAGCUCCAAACCAAGCUCACCACCUCCUUGGAAGAAUGGUGUAAGUUAAGAUGCAAGGAGAGACUUCCAAAGCUAAGGAGAAGGGGGUUGUCAUUGAAGGUUGAGGAAGGAAGUUUCUUUCUUGAAACUUGGAGGUACUCGUGACUCUCUCAAUCGUUCGACAGCUCGACUCAGCUCCUCUCGAUCCGUUCAAUCCCGUUCGAGCACUGCUGCAAAGUGUGUCAAG